rnacentral:rRNA from 1 species
GACGAACGCUGGCGGCGUGCUUAACACAUGCAAGUCGAACGGAAAGGCCCUGCUUUUGUGGGGUGCUCGAGUGGCGAACGGGUGAGUAACACGUGAGUAACCUGCCCUUGACUUUGGGAUAACUUCAGGAAACUGGGGCUAAUACCGGAUAGGAGCUCCUGCGGCAUGGUGGGGGUUGGAAAGUUUCGGCGGUUGGGGAUGGACUCGCGGCUUAUCAGCUUGUUGGUGGGGUAGUGGCUUACCAAGGCUUUGACGGGUAGCCGGCCUGAGAGGGUGACCGGCCACAUUGGGACUGAGAUACGGCCCAGACUCCUACGGGAGGCAGCAGUGGGGAAUAUUGUACAAUGGGCGGAAGCCUGAUGAAGCAACGCCGCGUGCGGGAUGACGGCCUUCGGGUUGUAAACCGCUUUCGCCUGUGACGAAGCGUGAGUGACGGUAAUGGGUAAAGAAGCACCGGCUAACUACGUG